rnacentral:rRNA from 1 species
AUUGAACGCUGGCGGCAUGCUUUACACAUGCAAGUCGAACGGUAACAGGCCUUCGGGCGCUGACGAGUGGCGAACGGGUGAGUAAUGCAUCGGAACGUGCCCAGUCGUGGGGGAUAACGCAGCGAAAGCUGUGCUAAUACCGCAUACGAUCUGUGGAUGAAAGCGGGGGACCUUCGGGCCUCGCGCGAUUGGAGCGGCCGAUGUCAGAUUAGGUAGUUGGUGGGGUAAAGGCUCACCAAGCCAACGACCUGUAGCUGGUCUGAGAGGACGACCAGCCACACGGGGACUGAGACACGGCCCAGACUCCUACGGGAGGCAGCAGAGGGGAAUUUUGGACAAUGGGCGCAAUCCUGAUCCAGCAAUGCCGCGUGCAGGAAGAAGGCCUUCGGGUUGUAAACUGCUUUCGGACGGAACGAAACGGUCCUGGUUAAUACCUGGGGCUAAUGACGGUACCGUAAGAAUAAGCACCGGCUAACUACGUGCCAGCCGCCGCCGUAAUAC